UACGAAGGGGGCUAGCGUUGCUCGGAAUGACUGGGCGUAAAGGGCGCGUAGGCGGCUUGUAUAGUCGGAUGUGAAAUUCCUGGGCUUAACCUGGGGGCUGCAUACGAGACGUAUGGGCUUGAGUGCGGAAGAGGGUCGUGGAAUUCCCAGUGUAGAGGUGAAAUGCGCAGAUAUCAGGAGGAACACCUACGGCGAAGGCAGCUCGCUGGGACGGUACUGACGCUGAGACGCGAAAGCGUGGGGAGCAAACAGG
rnacentral:rRNA from 1 species